CAUGGUACACACAUUAUUGGGUACAGACAGCAGCACAAAGGGCAAGAAGGUAGAGACAACAAUGCAUUACACGAAGCAGCCACAACUGUCAGUAAGAGUGUCCAUGAUUAAGUCUUUGAAUGAAAGGAUGGCUCACAUUAUGACUGCAAACUGAAAGCUUUGACCUAUAGAAAGCUUGAAAAGUAGAUAAAGAAACACAUUACUUUAUUUAGUUACUCCUAAACUUCAGACACUCCCACCACUGUAUGCUGAGCUGAUUGGAGACUGUCGGGCCGCUUUCUCAAGUCCUUCCUCUUCCUCUCUCAACGCUCCUCCCAUCGCUCAUCUAUCGAAUGCAAGUAACGCAUUAACCUACUGUAGUUUAUAUAUUUCCUAUUCAGCAGUAGCUUGCAGCAUGGUUUGUCUAGUUUCUCUCUCUUCUAUACUGUUCAUCACUAAUAACUGCUGUUCUAUAGUGACUCUACUGCCCCCCUGUGACAAUUUAUAUACCCUGUAUUUGACCUGUUUUCCAUGAACCCCUGUGUCCUUCCCCUGUCCCAGUGCUGACAGCAUAUGAACACCCAUCGAUUGACCAGAUCAACCAGCGGAUUGAGGACCUCACAGGACUGGCGAUGGACACUGCAGAAGAGUUGCAGGCAACAUGUGUUUGUUUGUGUCAUUGUUUGGGAUUGUUGACGGUUACUUUUCCAAAAUUAAUGAUCUCACGAUUCAAAUGUUUGUUGCUUUUCAGGUUGCAAUCUACGGUUUGGGAGGGCAGUAUGAGCCACACUUUGACUUUGGACGUUUUAGUAUUGCCCUGCAGCCCUGAUUUAUAACUGGACACAUUAUUGCUAAAGAUGAGCCAGAUGCCUUGAAAGAGCUGGGAACUGGAAACCGCAUAGCAACCUGGCUCUUCUAUAUGAGUGAUGUGGCAGUAGGAGGAGCUACAGUUUUCCCAGAUGUGGGUGCUGUAGUAUGGCCGAAAAACGUGACUAAAAGGUGUAUAUUUGCGGCCAAUGUGUAUGAGCGUAGUUACAUCAUUCCCUGUAACCUCUCUCUGCUGUGUGUGAUGUAUUACAGGGGACUGCAGUGUUCUGGUACAACCUGUUUCCCAGUGGAGAGGGAGAUUACAGUACUAGACACGCAGCCUGCCCAGUACUGGUGGGCAACAAGUGGGUAUCAAACAAAUGGAUCCAUGAACAAGAGCAGGAGUUCAGACGAACCUGUGGCCUGAAUGAGACUGCAUGAUGAAGGGUGAAGGCUUUCCUUCCACACCCCUCCUCCUCUUUCCCGUUGUUCCUCUUGAACCCCGGGACCUGAGAACACUUCUGCUAACACUUCAGUCUAUGAAAAGAGGGCCGUGGGCAUCCCUCCUCCUCCUCUUCCUCCCUCCCUCAUUUGCUCCUUACCCCCACUCUGUUCCCCUCUGAGCCCAGGGUGUUUCGGAGCUUGCAGUUUGGACAGUAUUAGUGGUGUUCUGACUGACAUGGUGCCCUCAAGGCUGUUGGACAUGUCUCAAAUGAACAUGUUGUGUGUUCAUCCUUAUGACUUUGUUUGCACUCUUUAUGGACUCUGUGCACAGCUCAAAUGGUUAUUUCAGAGUGAAGGUUCUGGAGAUGACUGCAAGUCUAGCUCUGUUCUAGUGUAAUUCAUAUAUAGUCUCUGCUCCUCUCUACGUGAAUUAGUCCAUAAUAAGCCAUGGACUUUUUUGUCAAUCCAGGUCAAUGUUCACUCAACGUCUUAUGUCAAGUCACUCCAGUUUGUACGAACAAAACUCUUUCACAAACACACCACACACACACAGACAUACACUCCAACACUCCCACGUACUGCACAGACAAUCUUAUCUGAUGUUUAUCUGUUUAUAGCUUGGGGUGUAAUUUGUUUAUUGUUUUUCUUUAUGCAAUACUGUCUGGGGGCCUCAAGGAAGAAAGAUUAUAUUUAUAUCUGAUAAAAUUCACCCAUUUUGUGUUUAUGUCCUUUCAAAUGUGCAGGAAUAUUUUUGGAAGUGUGAAAUUAAUGUUUUCUACAGAAAUCAAGUAUAUUGCUGCCCACCUGAGUGAUGUUUUUAUUUUUUAUUCUCAUUUGUUGACCUGGGUACUUUGUAGGCUAUUUUCACUCAAAUAACUGAAAGAAGUAGGCUUUGAUGAUUUAUAAAAGCAUCUCUGGAUGUGAGAGAUGCUAUGUACUCUCUCAUGCAAAGAAAAUGUGUGUUUAGGGCCUCCCGAGUGGCACUGCAUCGCAGUGCUAGCUGUGCCACUAGAGAUUCUAGGUUCGAGUCCAGGCUCUGUCGCGGUUGGCUACAGGGAUAUCAUUGCGCACUAGCGACUCCUGUGGCGGGCUGGGCGCAGUUCACGCUGACACGGUCGCCAGGUGUACAGUGUUUCCUCCGACACAUUGGUGCGGCUGGCUUCUGGGUUGGC